GCGGCCUAUCAGCUUGUUGGUGGGGUAAUGGCCUACCAAGGCAACGACGGGUAGCUGGUCUGAGAAGAUGAUCAGCCACACUGGGACUGUGACACGGCCCAGACUCCUACGGGAGGCAGCAGUGGGGAAUCUUGCGCAAUGGGCGAAAGCCUGACGCAGCAACGCCGCGUGCGGGAUGAAGGCCUUCGGGCUGUAAACCGCUUUCAGCAGGAACGAAAAUGACGGUACCUGCAGAAGAAGGAGCGGCCAACUACGUGCCAGCAGCCGCGGUGACACGUAGGCUCCAAGCGUUGUCCGGAUUUAUUGGGCGUAAAGAGCUCGUAGGCGGUUUGUCGCGUCUGCUGUGAAAAUCCGAGGCUCAACCUCGGACCUGCAGUGGGUACGGGCAGACUAGAGUGCGGUAGGGGAGACUGGAAUUCCU
rnacentral:rRNA from 1 species